rnacentral:rRNA from 1 species
AACGGCCGCGGUAUCUUGACCGUGCAAAGGUAGCAUAAUCAUUAGUCUUUUAAUAGGGGGCUGGAAUGAAGGGCUUGACGAGGUACUAGCUGUCUCAAUUUUAUAACCUAUAUCUUAGCUUUUGGGUUAAAAGGCUCAGAUGUUGUUGGAAGACGAGAAGACCCUAUAGAGCUUUAAUAUUAAUUCACUAGGUGAGAUUAAAUUAAUUUUAUUCCUAUUGGUUUGAUUUUUUUGUUGGGGCGACAAGAGAUAUAUAUUUAACUUCUAUGUUUAUUUUGCAUUGAUUUAUGAUUUUUGGAUCCAUUAUUAUUGAUUAGUAGACUAAGUUACCUUAGGGAUAACAGCGUAAUCUUCCUUCAGAGUUCAAAUUUACAGGAAGGCUUGCGACCUCGAUGUUGGAUUAAGAUAAUGAUUGGGUGUAGCAGCUCAGUUAAUAGGUCUGUUCGAC